rnacentral:rRNA from 1 species
UUUUAUACCGAGAGUUUGAUCCUGGCUCAGGAUGAACGCUGGCGGUCUGCUUAACACAUGCAAGUCGAACGGGGUAGAAAUACCUAGUGGCGGACGGG